UACAGAGGUCUCGAGCGUUAGGCGGAAUCACUGGGCGUAAAGCGCGCGUAGGCGGCCAAUCAAGUCAGGGGUGAAAUGCCACGGCUCAACCGUGGAACUGCCUUUGAAACUGAUUGGCUGGAAGAUGAGAGGGGAUAGCGGAAUUUCUGGUGUAGAGGUGAAAUUCGUAGAUACCAGAAGGAACACCGGUGGCGAAGGCGGCUAUCUGGCUCAUUCUUGACGCUCUGGCGCGAAAGCGUGGGGAUCAAACAGG
rnacentral:rRNA from 1 species